rnacentral:lncRNA from 1 species
GACCUGAAAAUAACUCGGAAAGCUUAAAUUAUUAGAUAAUAAGCAAAAAAAAAAAAAAAACGUGCAUCAACUCAGACUAAUGGAUUUUUAAUAAACCCAAAAGCUUAAUCGAUUAGAAAAUAUACCAGCAACAGAUAUAAAAUUGACUAACAUUAACAACUUCACUCGAUGUUUUUUCAUUUACUCGGAAACUUGAAAAAAAAAUUCUUUUUUUGGUUAAUCUUAGAGCUUUAAUUAUUAGUAGUGAGUUGAACAACUCACCGUACCACUUGGCGAGCUCCUCGUCGGCGGGUGAAACGGGGGCGGGCUUGGCCUUGGCUGGCGCAGCCUUCUUCUUGGAGAAGAGGGCGACGGUCUUAAAGGUGGCGGGGCUGGAGGCGGAGGGAGCAGUUCUGGAGGCGCCGGAGAAGUUGAGAGGGUUACCGAGCAUCUCGGAGACGCCGAGGGAGGAGGCGGCGGUGGUGGCAGCGAGGGAGGCCAUGAGGGUCACCGGAAAGUUGAGUCUCCGGUAGUGGGAAGUGGAAGCAAUGGGUGGUGGGGAGGGUGAGGAGGCAGAUACUAAAUGGUGGAGCUGGUGGAUGUGGACGUGCCAAGUGGGAUGGAGGUGAUUGGUGGGAGAAGGGAAAGGCGUAAUCUGAAGGGGAGUUGUGAUAGGGUGGGUGGGGUGAGGUGGCAGAUGAUGGUGAUGACGUGGAAUGAUCCUAAACUUGUUGGUCGCUUGUGUUUGGAUAACACGGUCUAUCCAUUUUUGAUGUUCUUCUGAGAGGACAGGGAUGCUCUGCAAUUAAUUGUAGGAAAAGCAGGGAUAAAAUGUUCCAUUGCCACUACUAUUGAUUUUUUGGUGCACAAAAUUAUUCAUGGCCAUGGCAUAAAAAUGAAACCUGAAAUUGUGGUUGAGUCUUGAGAAUCUGAUACUAAGGUGGAAAAAUGAACUCAAAUCAUCAAUUAUAUUGAUUUUUUAAAACUCUCCUCCAAAAACAAAUGAGAAGAACUUAAAAAUUAUCAUAUUUUCUACUUUUAAUAAUAAUUUAUUUUUGUUUUUUUUGUUAUUAAACAUAUUUUUCUAUUUUUUUAAAUAAAAAACUAUUUUUAAAAACCGUUAUCAAACUGAUAAAUGGUUUAUAAUGGUCUCUCAUAAGUAAUUUUGUCAUAAUAGGCUUGAAAAUAUAAAUAAAUAAAUAAAUCAACCCUUUCACCACCUUACAAGUAUCUAUAUCAUCCUUUGAUCGACUAAUCCCUUCAUCACAAAUCUUCGCCUGUAUUUAAUUUACUCAAUAACUAUGGAGUUAAGUAAUUUGGGUUUAGAGCUUAAUUCAAAGGAAAAGUGAAGACUUGAUCACACUGAGUCGUUUGCUUGUAAUAGCUUCAAAGAUUAGAAACCCAAAUAUAUGUAUACAGUAUAACUAAACAUACACAGAAAAACAAAAUGGUUUUGCACUUCAUACAUGGAGCCAUUUCUGUAGAAAGUAAAAACCCUAGCAAGAGAACUUCAGAUUAAUUAGUAGACCCAAGAGUAGAUUCUUCAUCUCCUCCACUUCUCAAUCUCCCUCUCAGUUGCUUUGAUGAGCUUCUUGGUAUUUCUAACAACCUCAUCAACAAGAACACCGACGUCAUCCCUGAAAAUAGAAUAGAGAAAAAUAAAUAAAAGAAAAAAAAAGUGGAAAAACAUAGAAUCAAAAUUAUUAAAUUAUUUUUCCAUGCCUUUUCAAAAUCAUUUUAUUUUUAUUUUUUUCUCUUCCUUAUGAAGCCUAAAUAAUUUAAAAAAUACAUAAGGUUCAAACUAAUUUUAAUAAUAUUUUAUUCUCUUUUACAUUUCAUAGUAAAACAAAUAUGAGAAAAUUAUUUUUUUAAAAUUUUUUCCUUGCCUUGGUACUUUCCUAAAGCCAAAUAUAACAUAACGUUUUGCGUACAAUAUUUUCUAAAUACCUAUUACAUAUACUGAAAGUUUUUACAUUAUAAGGAUAUGUCAUCAAUUACACUUCUCAAAUUGCUCAUAAAGCUUCCGGCAAUUUUUGGGGUUAAACACUCAUGUCUUUAACAAAUACUAGGACAAAAAUGUGUAUAAGUUCUAUACAGCAUAGUUUAGACAUUUUGUUUUUUUUUUUAUAGGCAACUAGCAUGUGUAUAUAUAUAGUGUCUAAGUAAAUGGAAUGGCAAAGUACACAAUGCAUGCAACAACCCCAAAAAUAAAAUAAGCAUGCUUGAAGACGAGAGUUUACAGAAUCCUAGAAGAAAUGAUCUUUUUUUGUGAGUUUUGGUGGGGGUAGGUGGGUGGGGUGGGUGUGAAUUUGUUUUAAGAGCCAAAAGGGAGGACAAGAUGAUGUUUGAGCGUUUACUACAGGUAGAAACCUGCAAAUACACUUAAAAGAAUUUCUCAUCCAUAAGAAAGCAUCUCAAGUUGAUAAGAUCAUGUUUGAAGGUUUAAGGCCGUUAGAAACCCAGAAAAUGCACAUAAAAGAUUCUUUUGUCCGAGAAAAAGCUUCGCAAGGUGAGAAAAUGACAUUUCAAAGUUUCAUGCAAUUAAAACCAAAACAACUGACGUAUACUUACUGAGUAGGAAGAUCUCGUCCCUUAAAAAGCUUUCCAACAUUAGAGUAUCUCCUGUAUUCGUCAUGUGCAACACCCCUCCCCACACCAUAACCAAAUCCUAAACCAACCCCACAUCCAGCACCAAAUCCAACACCCAGCUGUAAUCCGGGAAUCCCAGGACCAAAGCCUAUACCUGGAGUAAAAAAUUGUUUAAGCAUUCACACUUCCACUAAGCAGAAGAAUUUUUCAUUAAACAUCAUUUUGAAUUAGGAUCAAGGGGUAAGGAGCAUUAUCAAUUGCUAUAUGAAAUUUUGAGAAAGAAAUUAAUUGAAAACAUAGAUCCUAGGCAGUGCCAUGUGGCAUAUACCUAUUUCGGUUUGUUCAUUUUUUCUGUACAUUUAAAAAAAUGAAAAAAGAAAUAAAAAUUCCAGAUGAUUAGAUUUUAAAAGAAAAAGGAAAGGAUGACAUAAUGAAAUGAAAAUAAAGUAAUGUCAGCAGACUCAAUACCAACAGCAUAAUCUGAACAAAGAGAACAAUUAAAACUCAAGCAUGCCCAACCCAAAACACUAGCCCAGUUAAGAUGCAAAACAAUGCUAAUCCUAUCAACUAUAAGCUUUUCCACCACAACUUACUCCAAGGCCUGUCUUUAUCCCCCACAGACCGUCAGGAUCCCUUGCAAAGAAGACCUUUGUUAAGAAGCAAUGAGAUGCUACUCAUCAUCUACUUAUCCUUGUAGCUGCCUAAACAAUUCUCUAGCUCAACAAAUGUGACAAACACCCUUCCCUCACCUCCAACCCCAAAGAAAUCCCUCUAGAGCUUCUCUAACCUCAAAAAAACUGAAACCCACAUCAUAGUGGGCAUAAAGUACACAAAGUAAGCUCCAAAGGUAUUAUGACUAAGAGUGAGGCUAUCGACCUUGAAUAAAUAUUGCCUCUUUCACAAGACUAGCAGGCUUUUAUUUCAGGCUACCCCUCUUAAAUAAAGGGCCCUGAACCUUUCCCCAGUUACCAUUUCUUGAUCUAUCCACAAUCUCUCACUAUGCAAAUACAUGAACUAGCUUCUCAAGACUAAUAUUCCACUUCUUAAAUCUUCCUACAAAGCGUUCAACUAAUAGCUAAAAUGCUAACACUCUACAAUGUUUUUGAAAAAUGAUCUUCCCAAUUUAAGAAAAUGUACGAAGCAGCCCAAGCAAAACACUUAUUACGCCCUUAACCCACCAGCCUAACUAAAAUUACUCCUACCAGUAAGCCAGUCAGAAUAUCUAACCAAUUGAAGUCAACAACAAACUUGAAGACCCUUCUCAUAGCCCAAGAAAUUAUCAAACUAUUACACCUCUUGUAUGAGGAUCUUACCACGUGAAAAUCCCCUCCAAUACACCAUGGAUUGCCUAAUGGCCACUGCACACACUCUGCAAUGCAUUAGAAAAUUGAUCCUCCCAAUCUAAAAAUUUGAAAGAAGGGGUCCAAGCAAGACAGUGAUCACACCUUUAAGCCACCAACCCAAGUAAAACUGAAGUUCCUAAACCAACAAGAAAGCGAAUCGGAAGCUUGAAAAUUUGCUUCCAAGAGCGUGACCGCACAAUUUCUUUCUUUUCUCUUUCUCAAUUGUUCUGUUAUUAAGAAUAAUUAAAAAUGGGGUCUUUGUUAUUAAACAUGGGCUUGUCUUGUUGAAGCAAACUCACAUGUGAACCAUAAAAACAGCCCUUAUAAACCCUAUUCCUAUAACAAAGACCCCAUUUUUAAUCAUUCUUAUCCAUCCCUAAACCAAACCCUAACCCAAAUUUUUCAUUGAGUGCUGAACUCUAAAACCAUCCAGCUGAAUUCAAAUUAAAACCCCAAGAAAUACAAAACCUCCACGGAGCUUAGGCAAAUGGGAGUGGCUCAAAACCCAGAGAUGUACCUCCAAGGAGGCCAACGCCAAGGCCGAUGCCGCAGCCGGCGCCGAAGCCGAAGCCAGGGCCGAGCUUGCCAACUUGCUUGGACUUGAGCACUGGAAGCUUCCACAGCAAACCCUUCUCGCCGUCGGCGUCCUUGUCAUCUCCUCCGUACAUCGCUCUCUGUCACCGGCUUACAGGCUUACCGCCACCACCGGCGUGUCGCCUUCGAGAUGGCCCCACUCUGAUAGAAGAGUUUCUCUGUUUUCAGGGAAAUUUUUAUCCGAUGGCAUCCAUCCAAAUGGGGGAGAAAAUAUUAAAAACUAGAAAGUAAGUGGAUUUCCUAAAAUACCCUAUUUUGUUAAAAGCUUACCAAAAAUUAAUUAAUUAAUUAUAAAAGAAAAUAAAAUAAUUAAGUGUUUACUUUAACACAUUUUCUUUCCUAUUUUUUAUUUUAAAAUAAUAAAAUAAUAGUAAUUUUUGUAUAAAAUAUAGGAAGUCAUAGAGGAAAAAAUUAAUAAUUUUAAAAUUUGUUUCAAAAGUUGAGGUAUGAAAAUAUUUUUAUUUUUUCAAAUUUUAAUUUUUUUUAAAGUAAUUUUAAAAAAAUAUGAGGUAAAAUCUAUGUCUCUUUACUAAAUAUUUUAAUUUUAUAUAGAAUUUUGUGAUUUUAAAAAUAAAAAAUAAAAGUACAAACCAAAUUUACACAAAUUUACUUCUCUUCUAAUUAAAUAAAAUAUAAAUUCUUUUUAAAUUUAAAUAACUUUCUUUAUUAUUUAUUUUUAAUCUUUGAGAUGGAAAAAUAUAAAUAAAUGGUUAUAUCACAUGGUGACACAAUACAACCAAGGUAACAACUACUUGUUUUAACAAGUGAUGUAAAUUUUAAAAAUUUUCCUUUAAUAUAUAAUUUCCCAAAACUAUUAAGGAAAAAAAAAAUAUUAAAAAAAAUGAUUUUUUUUUUCAUAUUUCAUUCUCCUAUGAAAAAUCAAAUAUAAUUAAAAAAAUUAUAGAUUUUAAAAUUUUUUAAUCUUCAUAUUAAUGAGUUAAAAUAAGUAAAAAUGAGUUUGAAGUAUUAUAUAAAAAAUUUUAUUAAUUUUAAAUUUAUUUUUUAUUUUUCUCUAUAUUUUUAUUUUUUUUAUUUUUUCUCUCUGUUUUCUUUUCUUUAUAUUUUUCCUCAAUUUAUUUGGAAACCAAAUAUAGCCUCAAUUAUUUUAAAUUUUAAGAUAACUUAAUAUGAAAAUAUGGUUUGCUACAAUAUGGUAUAGGAUGUUUUGUCUUGCAAAAAAAUGUAGUAUUUUAAAAAUUAAUGUUAUGUUAAAUUCCACAUGUUACGUACAAGUUCCACAUUAAAUGAUUUUGAAUUAUAAGGUAAAUAAUUAUGUAAGACCCUUAAGGUGCUAUUUGAGACAUAUUUGUAUUUUUCACUUUGUCUCACGAUGAAGUCAAGUCAAAAAUCAUAAAUUUCAUAUAAAUAUUUCAGUCUAUCUAGAUUUAUUUUUGAAGAAAAUAAAUGUUUUUAAAAAAAAAAAAACAAAAAGAGGUUUUAUAUGUUAAAUAAUUUGUUAAAAGAGUUUAUCUUUCGAAAAAAAAAUGUAUAAUAAGAAAAUAUUGAUUCUUAUUAAACCCAAGUUAACAUCAUGCAAGAAACAAUUCAAUGUGAUAAAAUUUUCAAAUUUCCAAUCCCUUUAAAAUUAAGGCUUUGGUUUUAACCUCAACUUUUAAACUUCAAAAUAAAUGUAAAGGUAGUAAUUAAUCAUGUUGUGUUGGAUUUAUGUUAUAUUAAAAUAAAUAAAUAAAAAGUGAAAUUUUACUUAAUGCAAUGUCCCAUAUUGUCAAAGAAGUGAAUUCGCUUUCUCAACAUGCUAUUAUUGUCUUUUCUUAAGGAUAUAGGUCCAAUAAAAGAAACAAAAUUAGAAUUAGUUGGUGGAUCGUGUGUGUCAUUAUAAUCUUGAAGCAGACAAUAUUGAGUAGAGAGUAAUGUUGUGAUAAAAUGGUAUCAAAGCUUAAUCUUAGUCGAAAGUGUACCAAUAAGGACUUUGGGUCGUGAAUUGUAAUAUCCCACAUCACCACCUUGAGAAUGAAUGAGGAAUAGUCAUAAAUGAAAGGUUUUUACAAUUGUUAAGGGUAUAGAGGCCCAAUAAAGAAAUAAAGUCGCAUGUGUAGUACUACAACCUUGAACUUGAUAAUACCAAGAAGAGUGGAGCCAUGACACUUAAACAAACCAUUUAUUAACCAUGUUAAAAUGACCUAAUACAUACAUAAUUUGUUUAGGAUAAUAAUAACAUGAUACAAUUUGUUUAAUAAAUGAAUUAGCUUACAUUAUGUACAAUAGAUAUAGAUAACCCAUUAACACAAUUUUAAAUGUUUUAAUUUUUUUUUAAAUUUUAAAUUUACAAUAUAUUUUUAAAACUUUUUAAAAUUUAAAAUUUUAUUUUUUUUCUAAAUCGUAAUUAAAUUAAUUAUUUAGUUUCCAACUAUUGAUGUGUUUAUUAGAUAGAAGAUAAAUUAAAGUUCCAAUUUUAUACUAAUUUAGAAUUUUAUUAUAAAAUAUGUAAAUUUUAUAAUUUUUUUAAAAUAUAAAAUUUAUUUUAUUUAAUUAUUUAGCUUUUUUAGUUUACAUAAUUUUUAGAUUUAUAAAAUUGAUAAAUUUAUAUGAGUUAAAUGAGUUAUAACUACUAGGUUGGCCCAUAAAUAAUUCAUUUUGAUACACUAAGAAUUAUUUUGUAUUUGGUUGAGAAUUAUCACAAUUUAAAUUAAUAAACUUUUUGAUAAUUUAUUCCUUUUAAGGAAUUUUCUAUUCACUGAAAGAAUUUUAAACUUUUGUAGACAUAAUUUAUAAAGUUGAGAUAUUUUAGAUAUUAAAACUACUUGAUUUUGAUUUUUAAUAAAUAUUUUUUCAUAAUUAAAUAUUUAGUAUCAUUUACUAUAUUUAUAUUUAUUUUGAAAUGAGUUAUAAUGAAAACCAUAUUAACCUAAUAUUAAAAUAGUGAUUAUUUAAAAAAAAAUCAUAUAGUUUUCUUUUAUAGAAGGACAUUAUAAUAAAAAAUGUAUGGUGAAUUCUCAUUAGUUAAAUUGUUUUGUAAACAGUUCAAUGAAUUCUUGAUUUUGAUUUGGAUUCCAUUAAUUGCAUUUCUUCUUAUUUUGAUUUUGAUUUUUUUUUUUUUAACUUUUCCAUUAUUUUUAUUUAAAAUACCUAGACAUAAAAUCUUAUUUCACUUGGAUUGGAUUAAUUUUUUUUUAAAAAAAAGAGAGAGAGAGAGAGAGAGAGAGGAGGAGGAGGAGGAGGAGGAGGAAGAGGAGGGUGUUAAAAGGCUUCUUGCAGGAGUGUUCUUGGGAGAGAGAGAGAGAGAUGAGUGUGACAACGCUAACUUUCUUCCCCAUCUCCAAACCCUUCUCCAUCUUCCAUAUUCACACCUCCAUUUCUCUCAGAAUCAACCCUUGGCCACCAAUACGACGUCGAAUGGUCUCCAAAGCAUCUCACAGUGCCCACCUUGGUUUAGCCGUUCAGGACGAUUUCCACGCUUUUUUGGAGGUAGCCCACCGUUUAACUCUUUCACUUACUUUCUCUGUGUAUUAAUAUCUCUUAAUUGGCCUCUUUGCUAGUAAUUCUCGAUGCCCUUUUCCACUUUAUUAUUCACACUUGACAUCUACACUUAGAAAUGUAUGUGUACACCUGCAUAUUUCUCUGAAUUUGAUACAUAGCAUCUAAAGAGAGGUUUUUUCCCACUGUUUUGUUUGGUUGGGCUGUUAUUUGAGGUUCUGUUAGGCAUUUUAUUUGAUGGGUUUUCUUCCAUUCAUAUUUUAAUGGAUGUUUCUGAAGAAACCGUUGGAUUUGUUGUGUUGUGUUGUACCCAUGUGCCCCAAUCCACUGUUAAGUUGCUCUGAAGGUAAAAGGUUCAUCCUUUUUAGUGCCUAAGAUCCCCUGGUGGUCGAUUUAAGCUGUGUAUUGUGAGGGUUGUUAAUCAAGUGGCUGGAUUGGAUUAUUUUCUGCUAUAUCAUUUGGUAGGAAUUCUCAGGUAUGCUAUGUAAUGUUUGCCUUGUACUCUGAAGUUGAAUGAAUUGCAAUCUGAUUUGAAUCCAUUUGCUUGUGGCAGAUUCUUCCUUGUGAUUUGCGUAACAAUCUUCUGAAUGAACCGAAAAGAGCUCAACUUCUAGAGGUGAUUUAUCCUCAGCUCUGUGAAAGGUUUCUUGGAUGAGUAUUGUACUGUGUUUAUCUAGAAUAGUUGGGAGAUUAUGCAGUGUCUACGACACUUCUGAUGCAUGUUUCUAUAAAUCAAAUUUUAAGUUCCUGCUAUUCUUGUUCUUUAUAUUCAUCCAAAAAGAAUGGGAUUGCUUUGGGAUGACAAAUUGAAUUUAGGAUUUUGUUCCUGGAUGGGGGUUCAGCAAGUUUGGUGCCUUCAAUUAUAUUCAGUAUUUUGCUCUUCUAUGGCAGGGGCCAGCAAUAUCUGCCAUAUGGAAAUGUUGAGAUCAACACAAGUCCUAACUAUAUUGUCUCCAUCUUUUGGGUUUCAGAUUUCAUUGUUGUAGGUUGAUUGAAUCCUAUUUUGUUUUAUAGACUCUCCAAUAACAUCUCAUCUAUUGUUCUGCUGUUGUUUUUAAGAGGAAAAGUGCAUAAGGACGCCAUAAGUUGUGUUGGGAAUAAACUGAAGGGGAAGGUUGAUUGCAGUUAAAGGAAACUUUAGCUCCAAUUAAGAUGAAUACACUACAGUUUAAAUGAUGUCUUUAUUGAUUUUUAUAAAGGGUACUACAGAUUACAAGUAACUUAUUCACAUCUCCAAUUGCUCAUUAUUUGAAUGUCAAAAUGAGCAUCAUCUUGAAAGUUAAGGUCCUUCAGAAACAGAUUUUAUGGGCUUGUUGCUUUUGCAGCAAAUGAUGGUUAUUUACUACUAUGUUAAUAGGUCAUUUUGGAUCUGGGUCGGUUGCCAGAAGCUCGCUAUUUGGGUGACUGCGGUGGCAAGUAUUUGAGGGAUACUCAGGUAAAUGCAUGCUUAUGAGCUGUUAGGGUUAUCCACAGUUUUUGUUAACAAAAUACAUAAAACAUGUAAUUUUGCUGCUGUUUGCUUCAUUGAUUUCACCUCUUCAUAGCGUAUAAAUGCAAAUUUUAUAGAAUUAGGGAUGAAAUUUCUUUAUACCAAGAAAAAUAUAGGAAAGGAACAAUUUCCCAGUGGGUUUUAUUUACCUGUUCAAGACAUAUCCUAUUAGCUAGGUAUCAAUGGAAGAAUUGGAGUAUGCUCAAAAUGCUGUCGGGGAAUUUGGAGGGGACAAUAGAGCUGGCAUUGAGGGUACCUUGCACAGGAUAUCUGCAAUCAGGAGUAGGAAUGGAGUGAUAGUUGGUUUGACUUGCCGAGUUGGUAGGGCUGUCAGUGGUCAUGUUGAUAUGAUCCGUGAUCUGCUUCCAUUUGGGGAGAGCAUCCUGUUUGUUGGGAGGUCAGUUUGCUAAAUUUUAUAGUUAGCAUAUUGUGAUAGGAAAACUUUGGGGCUAUUGGGUGUCUGGCCAUCCCAUGGAAAUGAAAUUGUUCCACAUAAUUCAAAGGAGUCUUAAGGUUUUCUUUUUACUAAUAUUCAAAUCAGUUACUCCAAAUUGUGUUAACUAUUUUUACAAUUUCACGAGAUGUUAUCUUUUACAUUUUUAUUAUCACUUAUACGUAUUGUCACAAUUUUAAAUUUUCUCCAUGAACCCAAUUUUGUUUUGUAAUGAAAAGCAGUAUUGUAAAAAUUGAAGGAAUCCUUUUUAUUUUACAUAGAAUAUGGGGGCUCACAUUUAUAAUCUUGAAUGUGUUCACUAAAGUUAAUCCAGCCAUUGAUCAAAUUAACAAUUUCUUGUAUUGUGUCAUUGUUCUCUUGGCAAAGCACAUUCUCAAAUUUAGUGCAGUGACAUAGAAUAUUUUGCUUGACACUAGGGUUUGCCACAGGAUGGUGGUUAAUCUGUGAAUAUGUAUUAUACUCUAUUAAAAUUUACAUUGAAGGUACAGGGAACCUGGUUUUACAUAAUUAUAACAUACUAUCAUAAAAAAUACAUUUAUUUCUUUUGAAUUUGACAGGCCUGGAGUUGGUAAGACCACUGUUAUGAGAGAGAUUGCACGGGUCUUGUCCGAUGAGCUUAACAGAAGAGUGGUAUGUUGAGUUUCUUGUUAUCACAUCUUCAUCUGUGUCUCUCACUCAUAUGUUCAUCUUCCUUAAGUGUCGUGAGUUGUCUACAAUGAAGUUAUUUUAACAAUUGGUGGACAGGUGAUUGUUGAUACUAGCAAUGAAAUAGGAGGGGAUGGGGAUAUUCCACAUGCUGCAAUAGGAGGCGCAAGAAGAAUGCAGGUUCCUGAACCCUCCAUGCAACACAGGAUCAUGAUUGAAGCUGUAGAGAAUCACAUGCCUGAGGUGAUCAUUGUUGAUGAGAUAGGCACAGAAGCCGAAGCUCUUGCUUGUCGUUCUAUUGCUGAGAGAGGCAUCAUGCUUAUUGGUACUGCUCAUGGAGAGCGGCUUGAGAACAUAAUAAAGAAUCCCACUCUUUCUGAUCUGGUUUGUUCUGAACUCUUAAAGAAAUUCUCAGCAUCAAAUCCAAGAUUUUUAAUGUCCCAUGUAUAAAAUGUCACAUUGCUCUGCUUUCUUCUCUUACAAUUUUUUCUCCUAUAAUUUUAGAACUAUUAGCUUAAAGAUAGCUUAUGCUACUUAGAUUGGGUUAAUCAAGAAGCAACUUGCUGCUUUGUAGAUGAUAAGCAAAUAGGAUAGGAAUGGAGAAAGUUAUAGUCUAGAUUCCUUGAUUCUACUCAUAUGUUACCUACAAAUCCAAUUGAACCUUGGUUCUAAAUUUAUCAUUGUUCUGUCUUCACCCCUUUUUAAUAUUUUUUCUUCUAUAAUGAUGUGUCUUUAUACAGUGGAUGUGGGCAUCUUACAUUUCAUUAGUACUUCUUUGUUUAUGUAGUAAUUCAAUAUUACAGUGAGAACAAACAAUUCUCAAAUGUUUGAUUCCUUUUUCUCUGUCUGCUUCAAACAUCACUGUGGUAUCUGUUGCCUAUCCACUUUACCAUCCCAGGUGAUGAUAUAGAGAAUUAAUGUAAUUGUGAAGGCUUUGGCUGAUGGUUUAGUACCCAUAUUUGUUAAUUGGAUUUGUUGUUUAUGCAUUGGUUUAGGCUGAGAGAGACAAAUUUCAUGCUGAUCAAUAAUUGAAAAUGGUAUCUAUAUUUUAUUUCAUUAUAUGGGUAAUAGAACUAUGUGGCAAAAAUUAAGGUUAUAAGUUGGAUGAAUUAGGUUUCAUUGAUUUCAAAUAUUAUUUUUAUUGCCCCAAUAGCAGGUAUUUGUCCCGCUGAGGAAGCCUUCUCCUUUUCAUCUGUUGUUAUCUCUUUGUUAGAUGUGGGCCUUUCGUCACUUCUUUGGAUGGUGCUUUUGUGAAUGGAAUAGAUGCUUUUGGUUAUAAUGAGAAGCUGUUGCAGUCAUAGAAAAAAAAUUGUAUAGGCUUAUAUAUAUUUGUCUAUUUUUUACUUUUGGAACUCCUCCUAUUAUUGUCAUUAUUGAAGUCUGCAUUUUAUUACAAUUUUAUUUUGAUAAAUGUCCAAGUUUUGUUAUAUAAGAGACAGCAUUUUUUUUUCCUUUGAAAAUUAUGUACUUUUCUAACAAUACAGUUUUCUCUUACUUUCUCGAUUGUAUGUCAGCUAGAUUUUAGCUAAUUUCCAAAAAUAGACACUUUAAAAUUCUUGACAUUUUUACAGCAUGUCUGGUAUAUGUUUUUGAGAUCGUCAUCUUUUCUAAUAGUAUUCUGGAUGUUGUUUUGGUGCAUACUGACCACUCAAUGUGAGAGAUGUCAAGUGACAUCUCAAGCUUUACUAGUAUAGCACCACUUCAACAGGGUUUUGCUUGUGAUGAAUAUAUGUUUUGAUAUCUUUACGCACACAUUCUGUUUUACUUGUUAUAUGUUUUAGUCUGUCAAAGACUUCUUAGGAUGUUAUUUCUAUUUCUCUUCUAAUGAUGUUCCUGACAUCUCACCUAUUGCUAGUACAGUCCUCCCAGUGAAACUUUUGAACUUUCCUAAACUGUCCGUAACCUUGCUGUAUGUUCCUCUCAUAAAUUCUCCGUAGAGAUCAAUGGUAAUUUAUAUGAAAGUCUUUAACCUCAUUUCUUAGUGCCUCAAAUUUCCCCCGCUAUGGGGCUCUUUUAGCGAUUAAAAUUCCCAUAAAACACAAAAGAGAGAGCAUUAUGUGAUGUAAAUUAUUUGACAAUGGUCUUUUUGACCCAUCUCAGACAUACUAAUUGAUUGAUAUGAUGCAAAAGUUUGGAAAGAAGGAACACAUUUCUCUGACGUAUUAAGUUAUCGUAUGCUUUCAUAUAUAAAUUUUGAGUUAAAGUUUCACCUUGAUUGCUUUUGUUGCUAAUAUUCAGGUUGGGGGAAUAGAAACUGUUACUUUAGGAGAUGCUGAAGCUCGUGCUAGAAGAUGUCAGAAAAGCAUUCUUGAACGGAAAGCUCUUCCAACAUUUCCUUUCUUGAUUGAGAUGAGAGAAAGACACUAUUGGGUUACGCAUUGGGUAUGUCAAUCUACCCCUAGUAGUAAAAAGAUGUUUUAAAAGCAGUGGGGAAGUUUGAAAAUUUUCAUCUAAGAUUUUCCAUCCAAAACAUUAGUGAUAUCCCUUUGAAAUUAAAACUCUUUCAGAAAGUGGUUAAAGAGGAAGAGAAAGAUCGGUUUAGAAAAAUAGUGAUAAAGUUUAUUUCACCCCAAUAUCUGAAACUCUACCCCUAGUAGUGAAUGAAUGAAUUUUACAACAAAAAUACCAUGAUAGUUUACAUGCAGAAUGUAUUACUAACUGGUGGACAGUUGCAGUUUUCCUAUUAAUUAGUGACAAACUGAGACCUUAUUAGAUUACUGAUUCGAUUCAUUCAUUUCAAUGAUACUUUUUCCUUUCUUCUUCUUCUUCUUCUUCUUCUUUUUAACUUUUUCUUUUUUCCUUUUUCCUCUUCUUUCUGCAGACACAAAGGAGUGUGGAUAUGUUGCUUCAUGGAAAAAGGCCACUGGUUGAGGUAAUCAUAUUAAUAGCUAAUUGCUCUUCUCAUUACUGAAGUCUUGGGAUUUUGUUAAAGAACACCCUUCAACCCACCAAAAGAAAACAGAGGGGAAAAAGGAAAUCUAAACGAAUUUGACCACACUUGCUGACAUGAGACUUGGAAUAUACUCUUUUUUAUAGGUUUUAUUAGAACCUAUUACUAUUAUUGCAGGUACUUGGAAUCCUUUUGAAUCAUUCAUUCAUUUGGAUCAAACAGUGCUCUAUAAAUCAUCAUUGAUGAUGUUUUUUUUUUCCUUAUUAAGUUGUCAGGUCUUGAAAAAUUUUUAGGGCUUAUUUGGAAACUAUCAUUUAAAUCAGUUUUAUGUUUUUUUAGAAUAAAAAACAAUUUUCUAACUUAGAAAACUUGUUUGUCAAAUUUUUAAUAGAAAACAGUUUUAUGAGAUUGAUUAUUAUUAUUAUUUUUUUCUGAAACGAUAUGUUUUUUUCAACAAAUUUGAGGUGUUUUCGGUUUUGUAGAGUGUUUUGAGCAACAAUUGAAAAUAUGGAGGACUCUUUAAGAACUUUUGUUUUUUAAACAGAUGUACAAUACUUUCAUGGAGAAUAAGCUGAGAAAAUUAUUUUGCAUAUUUGAGUUCUCAAACUUAAUUUUAUUCCUGGAAACAAUUAAGAACUAUUUUUAAGAAUUGUUCUCCAAAAUUAUUUUUUAAAGCUGUUUUCGAAAACAAACCCUUAGUUUCUAGAAUCUGAUGCUAAAGCUGUGCAUGGUGCUGCUUUUUGGCAGUUUGUGCAAUGUGCCUUAUUACACAUUAAAGCACUUCAAGGUAGAAGACCUUUGAGGUCUAGAACCAACUCAGUAUAGCUGAGAUUGAGAUUCUUUAGCAGAAUAGAAUGCUCAAAGAGUUUUUCGAACUUAUUUAUUCAUUUAUAUAUUUUGAGAGCAAUCUCACAUAGCCCUUUCCAAAGAAUCAACUAGCUAAAAGUUGCUGCUUCAUCAGAAGAAUUGGAUUACAGUAUUAAAAAUCAUGGAGUUGACUGAUAACGAUUCUUAUCGAACUGGCCUAGUGGUGUUUUUUUUGUGAUAAAUAUCUAAGUACCACCUUGCCUGAAAAGGCUUUAAUCCUCACAUCCAGAAGCUUUUCUCAAAGAAGGAAACACAGAACACUUUAUAUAUUCAUCUCUCCCCUUCUCUAUGCAUUUCUAGGAGAUAUUCAUGAGUGGGGCUCAUCCCUCUCCUCAUUCCUCUACCACAGAACUUUCUGGGACUUAUUCACACACUUUCGAAUCUUUCCUUUUUGUCAUUGACAUUUUUAUCCCCUUAUAUCACAUUUAUUUAUGAUGACCAACUUGUCGAUGUUUUUUCAAAGAAAUUUAACAGGAGUUUUAUGGCAACACCAAUAAAAAUAGGGACCAUGGUUUCCUAUACAACAUAAUAGUUGAUGGAGAACUUCAAAUCCUGUAGACAAGAUGGCUUGUAACUAACUAUAUGGCCUUAGGAAGAGCAGAAUCAUAGCAAAAUAUUCAUGGUUGAUCCAGAUUGUUGGGCCAAGGCUAAGGCCCCUUAUUUAGCUUAAGUCUAAGUUUUAAUUAAUUUAUUAUUUAUUUUACUUUACUUUUUGGAAGAGGGUGGUUCAAACAUUUCCUUAUCAUUAUACUGCUCUGCUCUUAAGUCUGGCCACUGAUACAGACUGCAAAACUGAAUUUUGCAGGUCAGGAGGAGGAAUGAUCAGUUCGAGGUUGUAAUUGAGAGAGGUACAUAUGAUGGAUCUGAGAUUUAGUUUCCAUUUUCAUCAAGUUGUAUCAUUCUCCACUAGGUGGCUGCUAGUCAUUGUUACAGACUCCCUUGUGUGGAGUCGCUCGAAAAUUUGUUUAGUUUGCUACAAAAGAUGUUAAAAUUUGUACUAUUUUUUUCUUUAAUGAUUUAUAUUUUGAAUAAUUUAGUCACAAGGUCUAUGGACAACCCAUUCAUAAAGCAAGACAACUUCAGCAUUAGCAGAUGCAAAGUGCAUAAUCCCUUAAUAACAAUGUUACAUGAGCAUAUUCUAUAAUGUUAAAGCUGGAAUGAUCGAAUGGUUCAGUCCACUAAGGAGAACUAAGUGUUACAAUGUCAUCAUCUUGCAUAAAGGUUGCAUGCAUUGUAGAUUUCUCCAGGGUAGAUUUCCCAUUUUAGAUUUCUCCAAUGUGAGCUGUGCUCGGAUAUUCCCAGCCAUCUCUCCAUUCUUUCCCUUCGCAGUUGUUUCUGACGUCUUUUUAAAAAAAAUUGACCCUUCAUUCUUCAUUGUCUCUUCCAAAAUGUGAGAUCUGUCAUUAUAGUAAAAGGUCUGUUCCUUCUUGAUCCCUUCCUCUCUUCAAUGAUCAUUUGUACAAUAAUUGAAAGAUCGGGAUAAGUCAACUCUUACAGAUGAACAGUGGGGUGACCCCCUUUUGAUACCCAAUAUUAUUUGGCUUCGAUUAGAAUUGCAUAUUUAAAAGACAGUUCCAUAAGGAUAUAAACUAAAAUAUAGUUCUGCAGUGGAUUUUUUGGGUAAAGGUCAUUCAGAAGAGUGUAUUCACUAGAAAACAAAUACGUGGAGAUGAAUUUAUGGCAUGAUACACCCAUAUUUAAAAAAGAAACACAAAACCGUGGGACUUGCACUAUUAGUAUUAUAAUGUAAAGAAACAUAAAAUCAUGGUACCUGCACUACUAUUAUAGAUUUAUAAUGUACAUAUGAAAUAGUUUUAAGCUAGUUUGGAACUAUGCUAGUAAUAAUCUGCCAUUGGUAGUUUAGCAACUCAUCUCCACUGCCUCCUCUCCAUUAUUUAUGCUCAGGAAGAUGAAUGUGUGUUGAACCCCUGAUCAAAGGUCAACUAACUCAAAACCUGUGUGCUAACAUAAUUUAUUUUUACACUUUGUUGUUGAUUGAUACUUUGUCUUCCAAUGAAAAGACCAUAAUAUACCAUGGCAUUUAAAAUCUAGAGCCAGCAUGCCCAGCGCCGGCAAACGUAGCAGAGCCGGAACAAAUGCUAGUUAUAUAUAUAUAUAUUAAUGCAUCCAUGCAUGGAUAUAUAUAUGCUAUCACCAACAUGGACAAGCCUUGCAUCUAUUAGUUGGCCGGCAUUCCUCCACAAUCUUUAUCAUAUUAUCAUGUGAUUUGUAAUCUACUGUGUCAUGUUGAGAACCAUACAUAGUAAAUUGAAGAUUCUCAGAGAAGAACAUCCAAUAUGAUAAUCAUUAUCUCAUGCGGACUGCUUUGUCAUGUUUCAAAUAAUGUUCUAGUUAGUUUAUUAAAUGCUUUUCUGAGUUUCACUCUGCUAAGUUCUCAAUUUAAUACUAUAGGCCGGCCAUGUUUAUACUCUCUGCAUUGAUCUCUCCAUCCAUUUGUCCUCAACUCAUGAUAUUAUUCUCACCCUUGUCGUUAAAAGCCUACUCACUCUCUACAGUGUCCAUCUCCAUCUCAAUUCGAAGAACCAUAGCCAUGGUGAAGUCCCUAGGGAACCUGCAUUUUCUGUUCAUACUAACCUUCAUAGCCUUUGUUGUUGCUUGUUUUUGUGAACCCACUGACCUCAUUUCUUCUUGCUUAACUCGGCACAAUGUUAAUAACUUCACGGUAUUGCCUCACAAGCAAAAUGAGUCCCCAGCUUACUAUAGGCUCCUCAACUUCUCCAUUCAGAAUCUGCGGUAUGCUGUCCCUACUGCCCCAAAACCAGUUGCCAUUGUUCUACCACAGAGUCGAGAGCAGCUAGUGAACACCGUGUCAUGCUGUAGGGAAGGAUUGUUUGAAAUUAGAGUAAGGUGUGGUGGACACAGCUAUGAAGGAACUUCCUCGGUUGUUUUGGAUGGAAAUCCAUUCGUGAUCAUUGAUAUGAUGAGUCUAAACCAGGUUCUGGUGGAUUUGGAGUCUGAAACUGCAUGGGUUGAAGGGGGUGCAACACUUGGUGAGACUUACUAUGCUGUUGCAGAAGCGAGCAAUGUACAUGGGUUCUCAGCCGGGUCAUGCCCAACUGUAGGUGUUGGUGGCCACAUUUCUGGCGGUGGAUUUGGGUUGUUGUCCAGAAAAUAUGGUCUUGCAGCUGACAAUGUGGUGGAUGCGCUUCUCAUUGAUGCAGAUGGACGCCUAGUAGACCGGGAAGCCAUGGGAGAAGAUGUGUUCUGGGCAAUUAGAGGUGGUGGCGGCGGUGUUUGGGGGAUUGUAUAUGCAUGGAGGAUCAAGUUGUUGAAAGUACCUGAAAUUGUAACAUCCUGUAUAAUGUCGAGAACUGGGACCAAGCUCCAUGUAGCUGAGCUAGUCCACAAGUGGCAAUUCAUCGCACCCAGGUUAGAACCUUCAUUUUAUCUAUCAGUUUUUGUUGGUGCUGGUUUACUGGGAGGGAAGGAAACUGGGGUUUCAGCUUCAUUCAAAGGGUUCUAUCUGGGUUCAAGAAGCAAGGCCAUGUCGAUCCUGAACCAGGUUUUCCCAGAGCUAGGCAUUGAGAUAGAAGAAUGCAGAGAAAUGAGCUGGAUUGAAUCCAUCGCAUACUUCGGUGACUUGGCCGAAGGAAGCUCCAUCUCUGAGCUGAGGAACCGAUACCUGCAAGCCAAACUAUACUUCAAGGCCAAAUCAGACUAUGUGAGGACUCCCAUUUCCAUGAAAGGCCUGAGGACUGCCUUGGACACUCUUGAGAAGGAGCCAAAAGGUUACGUUAUCUUGGACCCUUAUGGAGGAGAAAUGGAGAGAAUAGGCAGUGAUGCCAUAGCUUUUCCUCACAGAAAAGGCAACCUGUUCGCAAUUCAGUAUAUGGUGGCCUGGGAAGAAGACUCUCUUAUGAGCUACAAGUACAUAGAUUGGAUAAGAGGAUUCUACAAGUCGAUGACGCCGCAUGUUUCAUGGGGUCCAAGGGCUGCUUAUGUUAAUUACAUGGACCUGGAUCUUGGAGUGAUGGAAAUGGUGAAUAGCAGCUUUUCAUCUGGUGAUCCUGUGGAGAUUGCCAGGGCUUGGGGUGAGAAGUAUUUCUUGAACAACUACGAGAGGUUGGUGAGAGUGAAGACACUCAUUGAUCCAAACAAUGUAUUCAAUAAUCAACAGGGCAUUCCUCCAAUGCUCACAGCCGGAUUUAAAUGACAGGAGUGAGUGGCUGAGAGAGAGAGAUGCAUACUUGUAAGUUAAGAUUUACAUAUAAAAAACCUGUGUAUGUAUGUGCUAUAGACGUCUUGUGAUGACAGAAACUACUAGAGGGUUGUCUGUUUGUAUGUUUGAGGUAGCUCGUGUGUAUCUGCCAUAGGGUUGUGUGUGUGAGAGAGAGGAGAGGGGGGUGGUUGGCUAUUUGGGGUCAUUCUUGUGAGAGUCCUAUUAGUUUGUAGUGCAUCUAUUAUUGAUGGCACUUCUUUCAAAACAUGUUUUAAAAACAUGUGUUUUUAAAGUGUUUUGAUGAUAAGAUAUAUAGUAAAAAAAAGUGCUUUUUAGAAGUAGUUAUCAUGUGCUAGUUUAAAAAUUACUUCUAAGUAAUAAUUUAGAUUUUUUAAAUAUAAUUUUAAAACUUUACCAAACAAUUUUUAUGAGGGAAGCACUUCUAAACACCAAGUCUAGUUUUCUUGAUGCAUGUUUUUGGUCUAUUGUUCUAUGAAAGUAUGAGGAAAGGAAAAAAUAAAGUAUUAAAAAAAAAAUCAUUUUUUCAUGUGUCAUUUACAAUGAAAAACUGAAAGAAAAAUCUAAAAGAAAUGCUUCAAUAAGUCAUUGAACAUGAAAUUAUUUUUUUCUUAAUAUUCUAGAAAUGUUUCAAUAAAACAGCCUCCCUAAUUUUUUUUUUAAUCAUUUAAUAUCAUUGAAUAUAUUAUUAUUAUUAUUAUUAUUAUUUUUUUUUUUUUUAAAAAAAAAGAUUUUUUGGCAAAUCAUACUUUAUAUUUUUAUUAUCAAUGAAUCGCUUUGAAGGAUUCUUUACAUUUUAAGAGUAAUUUUCGAAAUUUUAAUUUUAAUUAGAAAACAUGCUCUCAAUCAUAUGAUUAGAGAGCACCUAGAAUGUUAUCAAAAUUGCUCCCAAAUAGACUUUAAUUCAUGAUUAAAUUUCAUGAAUUUUGUUGGAUCCUUCUUGGUUGACUCCAAGUUCUUAAUUGUGGCCCAGGAAACUUAUGGUGGGCCCAACCUUGGACGAAUGGCCUAGAGGAGAUGGGCUUGGGAUAAUGACACUAGAACGAACACCUUUCCCAAUUAUUAGAUUAGAACUUGAAAGAGAAUUAGGGAAAUUCAAUGCCCAAGAUGUCUCAUGCAUACUCCUAACAAGUGAGGUUGAUAUCUUUUUUGUCAUUGUGAUAUGAAUAGGUGGAUUUUAGGCUAUAAGAUUAAGGUGUGGUUGCGAAUGUUUCUAGUUAAGGUAUUUUUUUUUUUUUUGGAAUAAUGUUUUUCAUGUUAAAAGUAUUUUUUAGAAGUACUAAUGAAUAAACCUAAGAAUUGAUUUGUGAAAGAAUUUUGUUAAAAUGCUUUUAAUUUAUUACAUUUUCAUUAAAAAUACUUUUAUAAAGAAUCCCUUGAAGUGUUAAUAUACAUAUAUAUUUCAAUCAUUAACAAUCUUAAAAUCACUUUCAAAUGAACUCUAAAUGAUGACUAACUAUAGUCAAAAUCGAAUUUUAUUACUGCCCUCCUAGAUUCCAAGCUCUUGAUUGUGGGCCUGACCAACUGGCCUUGAGGAUAUGGUCUUGGGCAGUUGGGAUCCUUCAUCUACAUCACCCAGCUGGUUCAGCUUGGCCCUUGGCAAAUCUCUGUCGUUUUGUGAAGUUCCUUUUACAAGUGCUACAACUCUAGCUCAUUAAAAACAAGAUUUUUGGCAAAUCAUAUACACCUCUUAAAUUUUUUUUUCAGUAAACACCUAUUAACAUCCCUAAUGUUAUAGGUGUAUGUGAAUAUUUGAAAUGUCUUUUGUAGUGGUCUAGUGUCAGCCCGUUAGACCCUGAGAAAAAUUUGGAGUGAAUUUAUGGGGUGUGACAUCUAGCAUAGGCAAGAUUUGUUAGGGAACAUGCAAAGAGAAGUAGUUUAUCCUAAUUACUAAUUAUUUUGAUAAAGAUAAGAUUUAUUUACUGUGAAAAUUGUAAUUAUUAAUUAUUUAGAUACGAAUGAAAUAAGAUAUGGGACAAAACCUUAUUCCACUUCAACCAAUUAAUAUAACAUUUAGCUAAUAAAAGGGCUUUGAUACCAAACUUAUGUACAAAAAGCACAAGAAUAAAAGGAAAAUAGAAGCAGCAAAUGAAGAUUCUAACUUUUAUUGAAGCUCUCUAGAGGAGUUGUAUGGUCUCAAUUUUUUCUCCAAUGUUUUCCUUUUUACUAGUUCCUUCUAUUUAUAUACAAAUGACAAACUAAUUAAAGGUACCAAGAAAAGCUAAGAAUCCUUUUCUUUAUUCGCAUAGUAGUACAUGGUAAUGAGGAGCCAAUUUGUAGAGCAAAAGAUUAGGGAAAGCAACAAUGUAGAGACUUUUCCAAAUUUUUACAUUGUGAAUCUUGCCAACUCUUUCAAUGUGAAUGUUGACAAGAUGUGUCACGCCCCAAGACCCACUCUAAGGGCGUGACGGUCAUUUCACACCUCAAACCUAAAGGCUUGAACUGUAAUCUGACCAAAACAAUCAUAUUGUAACUAGAAGUAACCAAGUACUAAAUACCUAUUUAGAGUAACGGAACAAAAUUCUAAAAUAUUUAAACUUAACUUUAAAACUAAGCAUCCAUCAACCAAAAUCCAUUAUCCAAAUAGAUUGCAAACUCAAAUAAAUCAAAUGCUAAUAAAUUUUCAUAAUCUCAACUUCAAACUAUCAUAAAAAAAUUUGUAAGUUCAAAUCUAAAUGGCUUCCAAAAACCAAAUAAUCCAAAUGAACAUAAACUCAUAAGCUAACAAUGUCCAAAAAUAACAUUCUAAGCAAAAUCCUAAUGAUGACCUUUCCUCGACCUAGCCAUCACUCCUCGCCUGAACUAAGGGUAUUUGAAAAAUUAUCAAUAAAUAGGAAUGAGCUCAAAGCCCAAUAAGGAACAUUAAUGCAGUCAAUGGAUCAAAUAUUUCAAGUUCACUUGCAAAAUAGGAGAUAUUAUAACUAAUUAUUUUCAUAAACAUUUGAAUCAGUUUUGUCAAUUCAUUCAAAACUUUUAACUGUACACUUUCAUUUCUGAUUCAAACAUUUUCAUAUCAAAUUCAAUCAAAACAUUCAAAUUAUUUAUUUAUUCUGGUUAUCAAACAUCAAAUAAUGCCCAGUUAUGUGAGACUUUUCAAAUAGGUGGCUAACCUCAAAUUGUUCCUUUAUGAUGGACGGAACCAAACACUACUAGUACUAAUAACCUCUAACUAAACCCGUAGAGGCUGGGGUCCAAAUCAAUUACAUUAUUCACCAAAAAAUGUAAAAGUCAACUAUUAUACCCCGUUGAUAAGGGUUAAAAAGCCAAAAGUCAACUAUUAUAUUCUGUUGACAAGGGCCAAACAAACUGGAGUCAAACACUUAUUUCAAUUAUUCAAAUUUGUAAAAUAUAAUAUCUUCACAUUUCUCUGUUAUAAACAAAAUGUAAGGUUCUAACAUACUUUUCAUGCAAAACAUAUUUGAUCCAUGCAUAAAACGAAUAAUAACUGAAAACGUUUUCAAAUGAUGUAUAUGAAAAUUUGUUUCUAAAAAAAAACAACUGUAUUAAUUUCCCUUACCUCAAAAGAAGUCCUAAAAAACUUUAGAGAAAAAUAAUACUGAAAAUCUACUCUUCACCUAACAAAAUAUAAGAGAAAUAACCAUUACUAUUUAUCUAAAAUUAUAGGUUUGACAAUCCUAAAAUUUUAGGUAUUCAAAUUAACGUUUUUAAUUAUGAAAGAUAAUUUAAUCUAUUCCUAUUUUAGAAAAAUUAAUAAAUUUCUAAUUCAUAUAAAACUUAAUUUUAUUUUCAAUUUAUUUCUUGGGACACAACUUAAUUUAAUUAAACUAUAAUUUAUUUCACUAAUGAAAUUUUAUGUUACUUAUUAACUUAAUAUUUAUUAUUAAUCUAAUUAUAAUUCUAUAAAUUUAACUAAUUUGUACUUCACCUUAUUUAUUUAUACAUAGUUUAUUCUAUCACUUUCAUAUUUUCCAAAAUUACCAUAACACUCACACAACUAUCAUUGUAAUAUAUAUAAAUAUGUACAUACCAUCCACCUACUCACACACUCCACAUUUUAUUAUUAAUAAUAUUAUUAUUUUCCUCGUUCCUCUAUCUUCCAGUCCCACACACAUGCAACUUUUUUUCUCACCAUUCUUCUAUUUUUAGUGCACACACGUUCCUUUUCAUUUUUUAUUUAUUUCAUUACUUAAAUCUAUUCAUCUAAGAAAUUUUGAAUUUCCCUAUUUUUAUCAAUAGAGCAAUCUAUAUUCAUAAUUUCAAUAUUUUGACCUAAAUUUUUUUAAAUAAAUUAACCCUAACCUAAAAUCGAAAUCUUCCAAAGAAUUUUUUUUUUCAUCUAAAAACUUAAGAUUUCUCAAUUUCCAACAAUAAAUCAAAAUAUUAAAUUUCCAAUAUUUUGACAUUAAAAAAAAUUUAAAAAAAAUAAACUAACCCUAAUCUAGAUUUGGAUUUUCCAAAAUAUAUCUAAUGUGUUUGAAAUUAACUAAUGAAUCUAAAAUAUUAAUCUAGGGGUUAGAAUCUUACUUAUAGAGAUUUAUUCUUCAAACCUUGAAAUUUGAUUCCAAUCUUACGUUCUUUGUAAUUUUGUGAAUAGGAACGCUAUUCAGAAAAGAACAAGAAGAACAUAAUUUCUAAUUUAUACAUAGAGUAUUUAUUCAAAAAAUUGCAUUUUUACCCCUCUUUCAUUUUAUUAAAUUAAUCAAUUAAUUCAUUAAUUAAUUAAUUUAAUUAUUAUUAAUAUUUUCCUAAAUUACCCUUAAAAAAAACUUGGGCAUUACAAGAUGACAAGUCUUGGCAUUUUUUUUCCUUUAAAUGCUAACCAAUCUUUAUUUGUACAUGUUUAUAAUAUUAUUGCAUGAAAUACAUCAAUGCUGGGCAUUGUCUUUAUUGUUGUUUUUCCUUAUUAUGGUUUCAUUGCAUUUUCCAAAUUGUAAUUAUUAUGAUAUAAUAUUUAAAAGCAUGAAAUGAUGUAAUACAAUAACUUUUCAUUAAUUAAUUAAUUAAUUAUAAUUUCUAGUUCCUUAAUAUGUUUUAUGUAUAUAAAGUGGUAGACCAAUACCAUACACCAAUCAAUUUAGAAUAAAGGAGCAAUGAUUUCAAAAGAUAUAUCAAUUUGUUAUUUCAUUGUAAAAGAUUAGGUUAAUAUAUUUUUCAAAUUUUCAAGAAAAAUAUCAAAGAUUUCAGUUAUAUGAUUCAUAAAAAUGUUAAAAAUUUCUUGAUCCACAAAUUAAGGCAUAAGAUCAAAGAUUUCCUUUUUUACAAGAUAUAUAUUUAUAUAGGCGAGGUACAUGAUAAAAAUGGAUCUAACUAGGUCAUGAUAGACUAUAGACUAUGUUUCGUGUCCUUGUUUCAAGACUUUUUUUUGUUCUAAAUUGUUUGUACAAAAAAGAAUAUUUUUCAAAUAUCUUAUUAUUCAGGGUUUAUAAAAAGAAUGUUUGGGCUAAGGAAGAGUUACAUGCUCUAACUAUGUUCUCACCAACAAGUUUGCAUUAUUUUAAAAAUAAAAAUGUUGACUAGUCUGAUUAACUUGAUCUGAGUAACCAAAUUGGUUUGAUUAGUUGAUGAUACAUCAGUUAUCUAAAAUUUUCUUUUGGUUUUUUCCGAAUUUUAAGGUUUCUAAAUUUAUAGGUUGAUCCCAAAGUUUUUAAAGGUG